GCCCGGGAAGGUUCUCAGAGGCGGAAGUGGGGUAGCGGAAGCGGCGUUGCCAUGGAGUCAGCGGAGGACUGGCUGGUGGAAUCCUUGCGCUUGUACCAAGAUUUCCAUGCAUUCGACCUUUCCGAAGCCACACGAGUCCUUGAAUGGAUUGAUGACAAAGGAGUCUGUGUUGCUGGCUAUGAAAGCCUGAAAAAAAAUGAGAUUCUUCAUCUGUUACUACCUCUCAGACUUUCUGUAAAAGAAAACCAGGGCUUAUUCCCAGAAAGAGAUUUCAAGGUACGCCACGGAGGGUUUUCAGACACGUCUGUCUUUGAUCUGAAGCACGUGCUGGACACAAGGUUGCUGGUAACCAGUGGUCUUCCAGGUUGUCACCUGCAUGUGUGGCAGGUGACAGAGGACAGUGACGUCAUUCAAGCUGUCAGCACCAUUGCCGUGCAGGAGGAGGAGGGGAAUCUCUGGCCUAGGGUGGCCAUCUUCUCUUCGAUGGCCCCCGGAGUUCUGCACGGGGCGAGGCUCCGCGGUCUGAAGGUUGUGGAUCUGGAAACUCAGAAGACCACGUACUCCUCAGGGGUCGGCGACAGUGAGGAGCUGAGCAGCCUGCAGGUCCUGGACGCAGACACCUUUGCCUUCUGCUGUGCCUCGGGCCGGCUGGGGCUCGUUGACAUCCGCCAGAAGUGGGCGCCGUCAGAGAAUGCCGGCCCCGGCCCCGGGGCCGCUGCAAGGAGGUGGUGUGCUGAAGUUGGGGGCCGACGCCGGGGCCCUGGGCCCAGCAUUGCCAGCCUUGGCUCAGACGGGCAGCUCUGUCUCCUUGAUCCCCGGGAUCUCUGCCACCCUGUGAGCUCGGGGCGGUGCCCCGUGUCCGCACCGAGCCCUGCCCCAGAGCUGCUGCGAGUGACCUGGGCUCCAGGCCUGGACGACUGCCUGGCUAUUUCAGGUUUUGAUGGGACAGUCCAGGUCUAUGAUGCCACAUCUUGGGACGGAACGGGGGGCCAAGUAGAACCUGUCUUCACUCACAGAGGUCACAUCUUCCUGGAAGACCAUCAGACAGAUACUGCGCCACUGGUCACUACCCACACCUGGCACCCCCACAAGCCGAGGACCUUGUUAUCGGCAGCAAGCGACGCCUCUCUGCACGUGUGGGACUGGGUGGACCACCGUGCGGACUGCUGACUCCAGCCUCUCCCUGCCCAGGCCUCUAAGAAGAGAAGCAGCUACCGGAAAGCCAAGGCAGAGGGACAAGCCUGAGAGUGAUUCUGGCCUCUCUCCGUCCCCUUCCUUGCAGUUGGGAGGGAGGACUUCUUUGAUGAACGAGGAGCUGGGCCCCGUGGCUCAGAAGACCAGCAGUGAAGCCUCUAUCCCUGCGGGGGGGAGGCUGUGGCCGUCCCCUGCUGCCUGUGGCUCCAACUGGGGUUCAGUGAGGAAGCCCACCGUGGCCACCCAUCUGAGCCACACUGCCCAAGGGCUCUACAGUUAGAAAGCUGUCAUUUGAUCUCAGCGUCUUACUCUUACGUUUCUUGGUUGGUCUGGAAUCUGAGCGGGGGAAGAGCAGUACUAUUUAUCAGAUCUCCUAAACUUCCAACAAAAUGACUGAGCCCAACCAAGGAGGGAAGCUCAUCUUAACCAUGAGAAAUUCACCCCUGCAAUAAGCUAAGGCUGACUGUUGUUUAAUUUGGGGUUGCCAGGGCUCACUUUUUCUAUUAAUCUAGUUAAGUGAUAGUCAAUUAUAGUUAAAACUCUGAUAGAAACUUAAGAGGGAGGGGAGCCUGGCUGGCUCAGUCGGUAGAGCAUGUGACUCUUUAUCUUGGGGUCAUUAAUUCGAGCCCCACAUUGGGGGUAGAUGUUUACUUAAUAAAUAAAGGGGACAUUAAAAAAAAAGAAAUUUAGAGGUGCCUGGGUGGCUCAGUCGGUUAAGCCUCCAACUUUGGCUCAGGUCACGAUCUCACGGUUCAUGGGUUCGAGCCCCGCCUGGGGUUCUGUGCUGACAGCUUAGAGCCUGGAGCCUGCUUCGGAUUCUGUGUCUCCCUCUCUCUCUUUCUGCCCCUCCCCGGCUCGCUUCUGUCUCUCUGUCUCUGUCUCUGUCUCUGUUUCUCUC